rnacentral:piRNA from 1 species
UGACUGUGUUCAGAGAUGAUGAUCUGGAAU